CUGACGAGUGGCGGACGGGUGAGUAAUGCUUGGGAAUCUGGCUUAUGGAGGGGGAUAACGACGGGAAACUGUCGCUAAUACCGCGUAUUAUCGGAAGAUGAAAGUGCGGGACUGAGAGGCCGCAUGCCAUAGGAUGAGCCCAAGUGGGAUUAGGUAGUUGGUGGGGUAAAUGCCUACCAAGCCUGCGAUCUCUAGCUGGUCUGAGAGGAUGACCAGCCACACUGGAACUGAGACACGGUCCAGACUCCUACGGGAGGCAGCAGUGGGGAAUAUUGCGCAAUGGGGGGAACCCUGACGCAGCCAUGCCGCGUGAAUGAAGAAGGCCUUCGGGUUGUAAAGUUCUUUCGGUAUUGAGGAAGGUUGAUGUGUUAAUAGCACAUCAAAUUGACGUUAAAUACAGAAGAAGCACCGGCUAACUCCGUGCCAGCAGCCGCGGUAAUACGGAGGGUGCGAGCGUUAAUCGGAAUAACUGGGCGUAAAGGGCACGCAGGCGGUUAUUUAAGUGAGGUGUGAAAGCCCCGGGCUUAACCUGGGAAUUGCAUUUCAGACUGGGUAACUAGAGUACUUUAGGGAGGGGUAGAAUUCCACGUGUAGCGGU
rnacentral:rRNA from 1 species